AACGAACGCUGGCGGCAGGCCUAACACAUGCAAGUCGAGCGAAGCCUUCGGGUUUAGCGGCGGACGGGUGAGUAACGCGUGGGAAUAUGCCCUUUGGUACGGAACAGUCCCGGGAAACUGGGGUUUAAUACCGUAUGUGGUCCUUCGUAGUGGAUACGGGGGACGAAAGAUUUAUCGCCAAAGGAUUAGCCCGCGUUGGAUUAGGUAGUUGGUGGGUAACGGCCUACCAAGCCGACGAUCCAUAGCUGGUUUGAGAGGAUGAUCAGCCACACUGGGACUGAGACACGGCCCAGACUCCUACGGGAGGCAGCAGUGGGGAAUCUUAGACAAUGGGGGCAACCCUGAUCUAGCCAUGCCGCGUGAGUGAUGAAGGCCUUAGGGUUGUAAAGCUCUUUCAGCUGGGAAGAUAAUGACGGUACCAGCAGAAGAAGCCCCGGCUAACUCCGUG
rnacentral:rRNA from 1 species